CUGCACCAGAAGAUGCGGCUGUCUGUCGAACGGGGAGGAGCAGAGAGCACCGGCGGAGGCUGCAGUCUCAAUUUAUAGCGGCGGGGCGUGGCGGGGAAAAGAGGGGGUGCGGGCCCCGCCUCCCGCAGGCUUGCCCAGUCACGGCCCAAGGGCGCAGAGGCCUGAGCUACGUGCGCCCGUAAAACCAAUCAGGUGGGUCAUCACCAGCCCUGCUGUUCUCCGCACCUGCUGAGCUGGGUCCCGGAGCCUAGGAGUGAAAUCUCAAGUCACUGGCACUAAUGUCUUCUGCUCCUGCUCUUCCCGAAGAACCCGGCGCCGACAGAGCUCCCCGCUCACUGCCUGUUCCAAGUGCACCAGCUGCUGCAGAGCCACAUCUCCAGCCAGGGACAG